rnacentral:lncRNA from 1 species
AAACUCUUACCUAUUCCUACACACACUUUCUUGUCUUCCCUGCUGGCUGAACACAGAGGCUCUAUGGGAUGGUGGAUUCCUAAGAUGGGAAGAGCCUAGGUACCCACCUGCAAGCUAACCAGCAUUAAACUGCAAGGAAAGUGAGAGGAGCCGGGGGUGCAGCUACAUUCAAGAUCAAUGAGUUAUAGCCACAUGCAAGGCCAUGAAAAGUAAUACCCUUCAGGAGAGUGGAGUUUCCGGUAUUCUUGCUGAGCCAAAAAGACUAGGAGAGAAAGAGCCAUGCUACCCACCAAAGUAUUCAGAAGUACAGGGUGGGCUUCAGAGAAAACUAGAAGAUUCUGCUUUGAACACAGAUAAGUAACUUCCACUUCAGUUUACCUCUAUAUACAGUGGAGUUCUGCAGGAUGGAGAGAGUGUGGAUAGCAGAUUACAGUUGCUUAUAGCUUCCUGCAGCCUUAUCUCUUCCUAAACCUUACCAUCUCCUCCAUCACCUCCUAUGCCCCUCAGACUCAGAGAAGGCAAGAAUCAACCAAAGGCAAAUAGGUAUUUUUAAAAACUUACCGAAAACUUGAUACAUCUUAACCUAUUUAUCCUGACAAAGUCAGUUCAAAAGUCCUCUCCUCCAUCAGCCUCACUUGGCUUCCCAUGCCACUCCACAAGAAAGAGUUGGUUCCUCCUUCCUGUGGAUGGGCCUAAAGGCACUGUGUUUAGCCUUUCUGAUGUUCAUGGGUCAGUAUUCUCCUGAUGCUAUGGUUUGAAUGUUUGUCCCCUCAGAAACUCAUGUUGAAACAUAAUCUCCAAUUUAACAGUAUUAAGAGAUGGGGUCUUUAAGAAGUGAUUGGGUUAUGAGGGCUCUUUCCAUAACCCAAUGGAUAAACAGAUUAAUGAAUUAACAGAUUAAUGGGUUAAUGGAUUAAAUGGAUUAAUAGAUUAAUGGGUUAAUGGAUUAAAUGGGUUAUCACAUGAAUGGGGUGGUUAUCACAAGAGUAGAUAUGUUAUAAGAGCCAGUUUGGCUCUCGGUGCAACCCCCCUAUUACCCUGGGAUGCCUUCCACAAUGUUAUGACACAGCAUGAAGCCCUCACCAGAAGCCAACCAGAUGCAACCACUUGAUCUUGGACUUCUCAGCCUCUAGAACUGAUGAAGGUAAGAUACUGAAGAAUUCCAAGAAGACUGGAGGGGGCAGUGCUGGAGGAGAAGAAAGCAACAUAGGGCCUGGUGCAAGCCCAUGCAGGAUGGGGCCCCUUCCCAGAAGUCCUGAGCUAGAGCCCCGGAAUCCUGCCCUGGAAUCUCUACUGGAGCUACCCUCUGGCCCUUCUUUAAGACGUUCAAAUGUCGGAGCAGAAGAGGAGAAGGAAGAAAGGGUUGUCCUCUUUGUCUUGGGUAGUUUGAUGCCUCAGAAGGAGAGCAAAGGCGAAAACGUUGGCCAGCCAGUAUGAACAAUGCAAGGUCCUCAAAGCUUAGGAGCCACUGACCCUAAAUGUCAAAGUCAGCCUUGAGUGAGGGUCAAGUGCAGAUUCCCCUCCUCACAGCUGUUCCUGUGAAAGGGCUCACUUUCAUUGGGAAACAUAGUUAUCUUCUCUCCCAGAAUAGGAAGUGGCUACAGCACAAGCCCCUCUUCGUUAGACCCAGCCUCCCCCUCCCCUUUGUCUUGCCAAGAAAUGCUGCAAACCCCAAAUACCUGCAUUCUUGGGCAUGCAGCAGGCCAGAGCCAUGCUUGGAUUCCCGCUCUGCUCCUUAAGGAAGGGCCUUUUCUUUUAUGCAAAGACG